GCUUUGGCAAUGGGGGAAACCCUGACCAAGCGACGCCGCGUGGAGGAUGAAGGCCCUUGGGUUGUAAACUCCUUUUGCAGGGGAAGAAAUGCGAUCAGGUGAAUAAUCUGGUCGUUUGACGGUACCCUGCGAAUAAGCUCCGGCUAACUCCGUGCCAGCAGCCGCGGUAAUACGAGGGGAGCUAGCGUUGUUCGGAAUUACUGGGCGUAAAGGGCGUGUAGGCGGUAUCAUAAGUCAGAUGUGAAAGCCCUAGGCUUAACCUAGGAGGUGCAUUUGAUACUGUGAAACUAGAGAUCGAGAGAGGAAAGUGGAAUUACGAGUGUAGAGGUGAAAUUCGUAGAUAUUCGUAAGAACACCAGUGGCGAAGGCGACUUUCUGGCUCGAUACUGACGCUAAGGCGCGAAAGCGUGGGGAGCAAAC
rnacentral:rRNA from 1 species